rnacentral:lncRNA from 1 species
GCUGAAGACCCUGAGCAUCUAUUUGGUGAAGGCAAGUGUCCUCUGACCCAUUAUGUCCUAUUUACUUUAUAAUUCACUACCCCGCAUACUAUGAACAACCUAAGGAUUUACUAGCUUUCUAUUUACCUUGUCCUUGAUUUACCUUUUGGGUUACUAUGGUUAGCUUCAUGCUAGCGCUUUACUUUAAUCAAUGAACAUGAUGAGAUACAAUGAUGAUACUAUGAUUUUACUCUGGAUAUGAUGAUAUACUUGUGGCAUUUAGGGGACUCGAGCGGUUUCUUGAGUGCCUCUCCGUAAGGACCUGUUCGUUGAGAGACCACCCGGGAUAACAGUGCAACCAUGAGGGUGAAAUGGGAUGCCCUUAGCUAAUUAAUUAGAGGAACUAGAGGUGUAGUUGCUUCGCCGUCGUGCCGUCAAUGGGGUCCAGACACAGUGCUUGCUCUGCCGAGGCUGGGUGCCGAGGUCCUUUCGUUUUGCUUUUGUUAGUCACCCUCCUGCGGGGAGGAGUACUGUGUUUAUCAAACUGGAGAAACCUAACAGGUGGCUAUGACCUCUAGGGAAUCUUUGUAAAAGCUACGUAGUGAUACCCUGCCGGACCACCUAGGAAGUGAUCAAUGGGGAGUCAUGAUCCCCGGGCAAAACGGGAAUCACGGCUCAUGGGUAAAGUGUGCGACCUCUGCAGAGGGUAAUGAAACUGAUAUAUCAGCCGUGCUCACGGUUAAGAGCAGCCUUGGGAUCCUCUUUGAUUAGAGAUACUUCGAUCAGAGAUGGUUGGUUUACAGAUGAUGACGAGGAUGGUUAUGAUCAUGCUUAUGGUAAUGGUAAGUGGUAUUCUUUCCAUUUGGAAAGGGUACUUUGGGUUAAGAACUUGGGUUAAUGCUAAAACCUGGCUUUCUACUAGUAAUAAUAACCUGACCAACUAAAAGCAACUGCUUGACUUAACCCCACAUAAAGCUAGUCCACUACAGCCAAACGGGACAUUUGCUGAGUACGUUGAUGUGUACUCACCCUUGCUUUCACAAAACACCAGGUUGCCUUUGGUGCAAUCUAUGCUCAGGUAAACAAGGCGUCGAGGCGGAUCUCCAGGAGUUCCAGGACGUCGACGAGUUCGAGGAUUAGGCUAGCGACCUCCCCCAGUCAGCUGCCUGUGGUGGGUUGUUUACAUUGGCUACGUUUCGAUUCUGUGUACUUUGAUUUAUAUUAUGUAAAUGACUCUAGUUUGUAAUAUUAUUACUUACUCUUUAUUGUAAUUCGAAGCAUUGUGCUAUGAUGAGUCAUUUAUGUAAUCGCUGUGUACGUGAAUUACUGAUCCUGGCACGUACAUGGUUCGCAUUCGGUUUACCUUCAAAACCGGGUGUGACAUAAGUGGUAUCAAAGCCGUGCUGACUGUAGGACCGCUGACCUAGAGUAGCAUUGGCCGUUUUAAGGACUUAUUGAUUAUUACUUCAUCUCAUCCUUGAUUCUGCUUCAAAAUAUUAGUCACCUCGACUAAUUCUAUGUUGUGCUCCUAUAUGCCCCUUGCCAAAAAGUAUUUUAUUCUAGUAUGGUCUAUACUUCUCCCAAUCUAUUAGACCUGAUCUCAUCUUGUGCUUGUGACAUCUUUGUAGAUGCCCCCUGACCAUAGCCUUUAGUCUUUUGGGGUCUCUUUCCUCAUCCAUUAUUAAAUUGCUACUAUUUGACCAUCUCUAUUCCAUUUUGUUAUUGACAUGCCCGUAUCCUUGCAUUUUUAAUACCCUUAUCCCUUAAUCUAAAGCACUUACCCUUGUACCUCUACUGCCUAUUUAAACAUUUCAGUUUACAUGUCCAUGAUCUUACUGUCAUUUGGGACCCUUUCCUAUUCUAUUGAUAAGUCGCUAUCUUUUUGGCAAUUUGUACUUUCUUGGUCUUGGUAUGCUCGUACCAUUGGAAUCUUGCAUACUCUUAUUUUUAUAUAUGCUUACCUUUAUGUCCCAAUAUCUGUUUGAAAUAUUUCAGUUAACAUGCCCUUGACCACCCUUGUUUCCUAAUGACCCAUGAGUGAUCAUUUUAUUUUGCACACCUGUAGUAAUCUCGUUGUUUCCUUGUAACUCCACUCGGUAAUGAAUCUUUACUUCAACCCUUCUGUUGGAACCAUAUCGAUCUUACCCUUGAUUGUUUUCUCCACUUUGUCGUUUCGCGAGUCUUGUCUUAACUAUAUCCUUUGUUAUGCUUUUUAAUUAUUAUCUUAUGCACCCUUGACACCUCUAUAUCCUACAUUGAUGUUUGUCUCAUACCUGCCCUUUAAAAUCGCCCCUCUUCCGUCUCAUAUCUUCUUUUUCUUGGCCAUAUCCUCUUCUUUGGCUCGCGAGUUUGUAACCUCAUCCUUUGUUGUGCUUUUGUUUCUUAUUGCCUUUACCCUUCUCAUCUCUCAAUCUUACCUUGGUGAUUACGCUAUGUUCGUUGUCUAAAACCUCCAAUCUCCCACCUUAGUUCAAGCGUGGUCCCUUACUUAUCUCACCCGUGGAUAUAUCCUAUACUUUACCACUUGCAAGACUUAUCUUAACUCUAUUCUUGGUUGCACCUAGAUUCCUGGUUUUUAUGCACAUUUACCUCUUCCUUUAUAUCCUUGUCUAUUAUCGCCUUUGACCCUUGUGAUAUUCAGGCCUUCCACCUAAAUGUUUACUUUAAACAUAUCCUUUAAAAGUCUCCCCUUUCUUUCAACCCAGUUUGAGAGCUGUGAGUUACCCAUCUCUCCCUUGAUUUCCUUUCAAUUCUUGUUGCCUUACAAGUCUUGUCUUAAUUCCAUCCUUUGAUGUGUGUUUUAUUUGCUAUCACCAUUACCUUGUCAUCCAUCGGUCUUGCCUUGACACUUACCUUUAUUCUUGCUCUUAAAAUAUCUCCUCUCUUCCACCUCAAUUUGAGAGUGGCAGUUUACCUAUCUGGCCCUUGGACGUACCCUCUCCUUUUCUAUUUGCAGGUCUUGUCUUAACUCCAUUCUUUAUGGUAUUUAUAUUCUUGGUUCUUAUGCAUAUUUACCUCCUCUCCUACAUCCUUGUCCGUUAUCACCUUUAAACCCUCGUGAUACCUAUGCCCUUGCCCACAUGCGUACUUUGAACCUACCCUUUAAAGCCUCCUCUUUUUCAUCGCUGUUUGAGGAUAAUGCAUCACCUACUUCACCAUUGAUUGCUUCCCCUUCUUUGAUGCCUCACAAGUUUUGUCUAAAAUACAUCCUUUAUUGUGUGUUUGUCCAUUAUCACCUUAACACUUGUCAUCCCUCGAUUUUUACCUUGAUGCUUAUCUUGCACCUGCAUUUUAAAGCCUCCUCUCCCAUUUCAUUUCAAGAGUGACGUCUUGCCUAUCCCGCUCUUGUUCAUUCCCUUUUUCCUCUGUCGCGUUGCAAGUCUUGUCCUAACUCUAUCUUUUGGUGUGUUUUUGCCUUUCACCUCCCUUACCUUUGUAAUCUCUAGAUCUUUCCAUGAUGUUAUCUUAUGCCUACCUUUUGAAAUAUCAUCUUUUCCAUCUCGAUUUGAGAAUGGUGUUUUACCUAUCCUGACCUUGGUUGCAUUCUCUCCCUUGUCGGUUACAAUCAUUGCUUUAGCUCCAUCCUUUAUUAUGCUCAUGCCCCUACCCUCCAUGUCUUAUUAUUCCCCUUGCCUUUUGUUGGCCUUAGAGUAGUUUCCCUUUUCAAGGAAAGACCACCAUUUAAUUAAAAGGAACGUAUAGCAAUGAGAUGUUUGUUACUAUGUGCUCAUGAUGUUUGUCCUUCUGCUAUGACUGAUUUGCUUCUUUGGAAUGAGUGUUGAUGUGUUGUGGCCCUUGGUCUGUAAUGGAAUCUGUUUACUAGGUGAGUGCCAUAGAGUUAAGUAUUUGGGUUCUCCCCCUUCUCACUCUAAUCCGUCUAUACUUACCUUUUCUCGCUACUCUUUCCUCUCGCACCUAUCCAGUUGGCCACCUCCAACUUCUCCAAAUCAGUCAAGAUCAGAGUCGGCAACAUCUUCAUCAAGUGCAUAUCAACGCUUUUGUUAAGGGGGUUAGCCGCUAACCCCAAUGAAGACAAUGCGAACAACAUCAACCAACAAGAUCAGAGUGGCGCAGCAAGAGUGUGUGUGGGUCCUAACCCACAGGUCCAAGAGAUCCUCAAGAAUUGUAUCAAUUGGUCUCGAGCAUAUGAAGGUCAAAGCAACCAAUCCGCAAGUUAAAGUUUCUAGAGUCAAAGUUGAGUCAGGAGAAGCUAUGAAAGACCAAUGAACCAAUCUCAUUUUCUUGCUAGCCUCUUCUUGAAUCUCGAGGGCGAGAUUCCUGUUAAGGGGGUUAGAUUUGUAACACCCUGAAUUUGGGGGUAUAAAAUUUCUUUUCUAAUAUCCACCAAAUUCGGGUGUUACUCUCUCUUUUCCUUGCUAUUCUUUUCUUUUUCCUAAAUAAUGGAGGAAUAGUUUGUUUUGUGUCUAUGUGUAAGUGUGUAAGCAUAGUAAAAUAAAACCUUAAGAGGUGCUCUAAUUUUGUAUCAUGCCGGAGCAUACUUUUAUUUUGUUGGAUGGGUGAUUUUGUGGAGCAUCCAUUUAAUAGGGAAUUCGAUUUGAAAUGGUGGAAAGAAUAGAAAAGAACAAAAGAUAAUGAAAGAAUAGGAAAGAAAUGGAAAAGGCCCAGCUUACCCAUCGACCAGGCCCAGCUGCGGCCCACCCCAUUUCCCCCGCAGGUGCGCGCGCCCAACCCUAGCCGCGUGGGCGCCGUCCGCCCAGCCGCCGCUGCACACUGUUCAUCUUCCUCAAACCGCCACUCCCUCACGUCUUGCGCGCAGCCGCCGCACCACGUCCUCGCCUCGCGGCAUCUCGCCUCACCUUGCUGCAUCUCGCGCUCGCCUCGCCCUCGCUGCGCUCGUCAUCCUGCAGAGAAGCCCCACGUGCACGUCCUCUGGCCGAGCUCCCAGCACCCUCCGCAAAAGCCCCAUGGAGGCGUGCGAUUAGAGCCCCUGCCCAUCCCCUACGUGUUGCUGUGCCCGGACGCCGCCGCAGCCGCGUAGCCAUGGCCGCCGUCAUGCCCUGCGCACACGUCACUUCCGCCAUACGCCCACUGCUCCGGCGAUCUUGUUGGCAUGUGUGGUCGCUACAUCCCGCGUUGCCAAGGUAAGGCCAUGCUAUGUUGUUUCCCCUCUCCUUCUCUAUUGCCGCGAUGCCACGCUGCCGUGCCACGAGCACCACCGACCCGCCAUGGCCACUGCACGCCCUGGCCAGCGAGCGGCCACGCCCGCCCCAACCGGUGGGCUCCUUCCCCUUACUGCUCGUCCAUGGAAGAACUGUCGGGCGCUGCUACCCUGCUCCACUGGCCGCAUCACCGUCGCCUGGCCAUGGCCGCCGACACCGACGUGGUCCACCUCCUGGCCAGCAACUAACUCGCUUGAAUGCCCCUUGCGGUCGUCGUGGUGGUAGGGAGAGAAAAAUCAACCGUGCACGUCAUGCAUGGGUGCAAGAAGGAAAAAGGCAUGCAAGUAGAAACGCCCGCGAGCCCCAUGUUGCAUGUCGUAUUCCUCUCCUGCGUGCAUGCGCUCAAGAGAAACAGUCCUCCAAGGAUCCGAGGUGGAUGCAAAAUCCAUGACCAUCCCUGGGAAUUGGCUCGGACCAAUCACAACGCACCAUAUCACUUUAAAUUUGCAGUUUAUUAAAUACAUGUUAGAGUUUAUGUUAUAAAUCCAUUUUAUAUUGUUCAGAUUGUGUUAGCUUCGUAAUAAUGUCGUGCACACAUUAAAAAUAUUGUUUUGUCGAGAUCCAUGUUUUAUUUAUUUAGUUAAUUGUUAGUUCGUUCGUUGGUUAUUAAAAAUAACUGUUAGUUAAAACUAACUUAUCGUUUUAAGCUCCCCUUUUAUAAAUACAUGUUAAUGUGAUUAUGCCAAUUCAAAUGUUUUUUAAUUUAUUCUUGCUUAGUAUAAACACGACAUUAGUUAGUCAUUCGCGUGUGUCGCGCGCGUCGUCGCGUGCCGUUCGCGCACUUUGCGCAUGCCGUUCGCACACGUUGACCCAUGUCGUCACAUGCACUGCGCACCCCGCUUUAGUGUGUCGCGCACCUUGUUGCGUGGCAAUAAACUAAGUUGCACGUAGAAUCGCUCACGUUAAUUAAGUUACAUAAUUAGACGAUGAUUAACCGAGUAUUAAACCAAUCGAAACUAAGUGUUAAUUCUAUCAAUGCAUGCGAUAAAUACCUAUUAUAGUGAUUUUGCCAUUUUAAGUGUUGCAUCUAAUAUUUGUUUAGUAUAAAUACGACAUAGUUUAGUAAUAUUCGCACGUCGCACCGUUUUCGCAUGUCGCGCGUUGUUUGUGUGUCACCGUUAUUCGUUCGCGCGCGUGCUAUCCACGCGCGACAUUAAACGGUUCGCUUAUAAUGGCUCAGGUCAGUUAAUUAGCUGUUUGGGUAAUCGUUCAUCAUUAAAAUAUUAAUUCAGUCGAAAUUAUGUAGUAGUUUUUAAUCUACAUUUGAUAAAUAUCAAUCAAUAUAAUUAUGCCGAACUAAUGUUCUAACUAAUACUUGGUUAGUGCAAUCACACUAUUUGUUAGCGAUAAUCAAGCGUCGCUGCACCCUCAGUGCGCUGUUCGCGCGUGAUGUUCUUGUGGCACGCACACUGUUCGCGCAAGUAGUUGCGCGUCGUUUGCGUGCCGGUUGCGCGUGUCAUCAUUCCUUCGCACGUUCGUGCCGCGCGACUGGUUCGCGUAUCGUGCGUAUCUCGCGUGUCGCGCGUGCUCGCGCGUCGUUUUCAUGGUGUCGUGCUGUUCGCGCCGUAGCCGUGUCACGCACUGUGGUGCACGUUGUUUCGCAUGUGUCGUGCGCUGUUCCACAGGUGGUGGCGUGCUGAUUCGCGCGUCAUUCGCGUUGGUCGCGCGCGGUGUUUCGUGUGUCGUAGCAUGCUAUGUCGCGUAUGUGCGCGCGUCGGGUGCAUGUUGUCGUGUUGUUUCGUAUAUCGUAAAUUCGUCUUGCGUAGAAUCUCUCGUGUUAAUUAAAUUACUUAUUUAUUUGAUAGUUGUUAGUGUAGCAGAUUAAUCAAACUAAAUAGUGGAUAUACUUUAUAAUUGGUAAGGUCGAAUUAAUUGUUAGCGUUAAUACUUGUGUAGCGUAAACGCGAUAUUUUCCCGACCGUCGCUUCGAGUUCGACAUUUCUUUCCCUCGCGUGACCAUAGAAUCGAGCUCUAUUUUAUGCUGCAUAUUUUUAUAGCAUUUUAUCUUGUAUGGUGUAAUGUUCUUAUGCACUUAUAUAUGUUUGUUUGUCUGUGCUUGUUCGUCUUCGCUUCGCAUUGCGAUUAGAUCGCGAUUCGUUUCCGAGCUUCGAGGAAUCGACGAUCAAGCCUUGGUGACCAAGUGAUCGAACUCUUCGAGUUCUACGAGGCUGAAGACCCUGAGCAUCUAUUUGGUGAAGGCAAGUGUCCUCUGACCCAUUAUGUCCUAUUUACUUUAUAAUUCACUACCCCGCAUACUAUGAACAACCUAAGGAUUUACUAGCUUUCUAUUUACCUUGUCCUUGAUUUACCUUUUGGGUUACUAUGGUUAGCUUCAUGCUAGCGCUUUACUUUAAUCAAUGAACAUGAUGAGAUACAAUGAUGAUACUAUGAUUUUACUCUGGAUAUGAUGAUAUACUUGUGGCAUUUAGGGGACUCGAGCGGUUUCUCGAGUGCCUCUCCGUAAGGACCUGUUCGUUGAGAGACCACCCGGGAUAACAGUGCAACCAUGAGGGUGAAAUGGGAUGCCCUUAGCUAAUUAAUUAGAGGAACUAGAGGUGUAGUUGCUUCGCCGUCGUGCCGUCAAUGGGGUCCAGGCACAGUGCUUGCUCUGCCGAGGCUGGGUGCUGAGGUCCUUUCGUUUUGCUUUUGUUAGUCACCCUCCUGCGGGGAGGAGUACUGUGUUUAUCAAACUGGAGAAACCUAACGGGCGGCUAUGACCUCUAGGGAAUCUUUGUAAAAGCUACGUAGUGAUACCCUGCCGGACCACCUAGGAAGUGAUCAAUGGGGAGUCAUGAUCCCCGGGCAAAACGGGAAUCACGGCUCAUGGGUAAAGUGUGCGACCUCUGCAGAGGGUAAUGAAACUGAUAUAUCAGUCGUGCUCACGGUUAAGAGCAGCCUUGGGAUCCUCUUUGAUUAGAGAUACUUCGAUCAGAGAUGGUUGGUUUACAGAUGAUGACGAGGAUGGUUAUGAUCAUGCUUAUGGUAAUGGUAAGUGGUAUUCUUUCCAUUUGGAAAGGGUACUUUGGGUUAAGAACUUGGGUUAAUGCUAAAACCUGGCUUUCUACUAGUAAUAAUAACCUGACCAACUAAAAGCAACUGCUUGACUUAACCCCACAUAAAGCUAGUCCACUACAGCCAAACGGGACAUUUGCUGAGUACGUUGAUGUGUACUCACCCUUGCUUUCACAAAACACCAGGUUGCCUUUGGUGCAAUCUAUGCUCAGGUAAACAAGGCGUCGAGGCGGAUCUCCAGGAGUUCCAGGACGUCGACGAGUUCGAGGAUUAGGCUAGCGACCUCCCCCAGUCAGCUGCCUGUGGUGGGUUGUUUACAUUGGCUACGUUUCGAUUCUG